rnacentral:rRNA from 1 species
AUUGAACGCUGGCGGCAGGCCUAACACAUGAAAGUCGAGCGGGGUUUUCGGACCUAGCGGCGGACGGGUGAGUAGUGCGUAGGAAGCUGCGCGAUAGAGGGUGAUACCAGUUGGAAACGCCUGUUAAAACCGUAUAAUGUCUCCGGACCAAAGUGUGGGACAUUCGGGCCACAUGCUAUCGGAUGCUCCUACGCGGGAUUAGCUCGUUGGUGAGGUAAUGGCGCACCAAGGCGACGAUCUCUGGCUGGUUGAAGAGGAUGAACAGCCACACUGGAAGUGAGACACGGUCCAGACACCUACGGGUGGCAGCAGUGGGGAAUAUUGGACAAAGGGCGCAGGCCUGAUCCAGCCAUGCGGCGGGUGUGAAGAAGGCCUUCGGGUUGUAAAGCACUUUCAGCGAGGAGGAAGGGGUGUGUGUUAAUAGUACACACCUUUGACGUUACUCGCAGAAUAAGCACCGGCUAACUCUGUGCCAGCCGCCGCCGUAACAC